rnacentral:rRNA from 1 species
AGUGAACGCUGGCGGUAGGCCUAACACAUGCAAGUCGAACGGCAGCACAGUAAGAGCUUGCUCUUACGGGUGGCGAGUGGCGGACGGGUGAGGAAUACAUCGGAAUCUACUUUUUCGUGGGGGAUAACGUAGGGAAACUUACGCUAAUACCGCAUACGACCUACGGGUGAAAGCAGGGGAUCUUCGGACCUUGCGCGAUUGAAUGAGCCGAUGCCGGAUUAGCUAGUUGGCGGGGUAAAGGCCCACCAAGGCGACGAUCCGUAGCUGGCCUGAGAGGAUGAUCAGCCACACUGGAACUGAGACACGGUCCAGACUCCUACGGGAGGCAGCAGUGGGGAAUAUUGGACAAUGGGCGCAAGCCUGAUCCAGCCAUACCGCGUGGGUGAAGAAGGCCUUCGGGUUGUAAAGCCCUUUUGUUGGGAAAGAAAAGCAGCAGGUUAAUACCCCGCUGUUCUGACGGUACCCAAAGAAUAAGCACCGGCUAACUUCGUG